rnacentral:rRNA from 1 species
CCCUUAGAUGUCCGGGGCUGCAGGCGCGCUACACUGUAGAAAGCAGCGUGCUUUAAAACCUUUCCUGAAAAGGAUGGGUAACCCCAGCAAAAUUCUACGUGCUUGGGAUAGAGAUUUGCAAUUUUCUCUCUUGAACGAGGAAUUCCCAGUAAGUGCGAGUCAUCAGCUCGCGUUGAUUACGUCCCUGCCCUUUGUACACACCGCCCGUCGCUCCUACCGAUUGAAUGAUCCGAUGAAUAUCAUAGACUGAGAGUAUAAGCAGGUUCGCCUGUCUUUGCUUCUCGGGAAGUGAAGUAAAUCUUAUCAUUUAGAGGAAGGAGAAGUCGUAACA